UACGUAGGGGGCAAGCGUUGUCCGGAUUUAUUGGGCGUAAAGAGCGUGUAGGCGGUUUGGUAGGUCCGCUGUGAAAACUCGAGGCUCAACCUCGAGACGCCGGUGGAAACCAUCAGACUAGAGUCCGGAAGAGGAGAGUGGAAUUCCGUGGUGUAGCGGUGAAAUGACGCAGAUAUCAGGAGGAACACCAAUGGCGAAGGCAGCUCGCUGGGACGUGACUGACGCUGAGACGCGAAAGCGUGGGGAGCGAACAGG
rnacentral:rRNA from 1 species